rnacentral:rRNA from 1 species
UACGUAGGGUGCGAGCGUUGUCCGGAAUUAUUGGGCGUAAAGGGCUCGUAGGCGGUUUGUCGCGUCGGGAGUGAAAACACCGGGCUUAACUCGGUGCUGGCUUUCGAUACGGGCAGACUAGAGGUAUUCAGGGGAGAACGGAAUUCCUGGUGUAGCGGUGAAAUGCGCAGAUAUCAGGAGGAACAGCGGUGGCGAAGGCGGUUCCCUGGGCAUUAACUGACGCUGAGGAGCGAAAGCAUGGGGAGAGAACAGG